GUUUGCUUUGGCAACACAUGUACAAAAACUGGAAUGAUACAGGGAAGAUUAGCAUGGCCCUUGCGCAAGGUUGAAAAGAUGAUUGUUUUGGAGCAAAAAUAUUCU